AGUGAACGCUGGCGGUAGGCCUAACACAUGCAAGUCGAACGGCAGCACAGUAAGAGCUUGCUCUUACGGGUGGCGAGUGGCGGACGGGUGAGGAAUACAUCGGAAUCUACUUUUUCGUGGGGGAUAACGUAGGGAAACUUACGCUAAUACCGCAUACGACCUACGGGUGAAAGCAGGGGAUCUUCGGACCUUGCGCGAUUGAAUGAGCCGAUGUCGGAUUAGCUAGUUGGCGGGGUAAAGGCCCACCAAGGCGACGAUCCGUAGCUGGUCUGAGAGGAUGAUCAGCCAUACUGGAACUGAGACACGGUCCAGACUCCUACGGGAGGCAGCAGUGGGGAAUAUUGGAAAAUGGGCGCAAGCCUGAUCCAGCCAUACCGCGUGGGUGAAGAAGGCCUUCGGGUUGUAAAGCCCUUUUGUUGGGAAAGAAAAGCAGCAGGUUAAUACCCCGCUGUUCUGACGGUACCCAAAGAAUAAGCACCGGCUAACUUCGU
rnacentral:rRNA from 1 species